AAAAAGACAAAUCCUAGUUUUUCGUACCAACGUUUGACUGUCCGUCUUAUAUGAUAAAACAUGAUUAAUACUUUAUGCGUGACUUAUCUUUUUAACUUUUUUCAUAAUUUUUUCAAAUAAGACGGACGGUCAAACGUUAGACACGUAAACUAUGGUUUGUCUUUUU
rfam:Oryza glaberrima chromosome 6 Oglab06_0024_4, whole genome shotgun sequence.